AAAAGAAAGAAAAAUAUAAUAGUUUUUAUUUUGAUAGAAACAGAGCAAAAUUAUUUUAAGAUAACGAGUCAAUAAUAGCCGACAACUUUUAUUUUAUAAGGGCUGUUUUUAGCAAAAUAUGAAUGGGAUUAACAACUAGUAGGAUUCAAAAAAUAAUAAUAAUAGAAACUGCAAAAAAAAAAAUCAUGUGUAUAAUAUACACUUUAAUUAAAUAGAAGAAAAUUAAAUGAUACCUGGAGCGUGUCAAGAAAGAUUCAAACUAACGACGUUCAUUGAAUGGAAUGAAUAUUGAAAUAAAUUAGAA
rnacentral:lncRNA from 1 species